UGCUGCCCCGCAGCCGCCGCCCGGGUUCCCGGGCACUGCCCUCGCUGAGGAGCGUAUCGGCCGGCCACCAGCAGCACCGCGGAGCGCAGGAGCAGGGCCGCGGAGCCGGCGCGGGCAAGCGGGUGGGUGGCGCGCGGACAGUUAGCCUACCAUGGCAGACCAGAGACAGCGCUCUCUCUCUACCUCUGGGGAAUCAUUGUACCAUGUUCUCGGGCUGGACAAGAAUGCAACCUCAGACGACAUUAAGAAGUCCUAUCGGAAACUUGCUUUGAAGUACCACCCGGACAAGAACCCCGACAACCCGGAAGCUGCAGACAAAUUCAAGGAGAUCAACAACGCCCACGCCAUCCUCACAGACGCCACAAAAAGAAACAUCUACGACAAGUACGGCUCGCUGGGGCUAUACGUGGCCGAGCAGUUUGGGGAGGAGAACGUCAACACCUACUUUGUGCUCUCCAGCUGGUGGGCCAAGGCCCUGUUUGUCUUCUGCGGGCUCCUCACGUGCUGCUACUGCUGCUGCUGUCUGUGCUGCUGUUUCAACUGCUGCUGUGGAAAGUGCAAGCCCAAGGCACCCGAGGGCGAGGAAACCGAGUUCUACGUGUCUCCUGAGGACCUGGAGGCCCAGCUGCAGUCGGAUGAGAGGGGAGGGCACUGACUCUGUGCCGGGAGUGUUUGUGGUGGCAGCUGGGACUGUUGUGUGAACGUGGACUCUGGAGAGGCCACAGAUACACCGAUCGUCAUUCAGCCUGCGUCCGCCACAGAGACCACCCAGCUCACGGCUGACUCCCACCCCAGCUACCACACUGAUGGGUUCAAUUAAGUUGUGGAGACGCUGUGAUUAGAGGAUCAAUCAGCACCCGGCCACUUCAACCUUAGAAUCAUGAACUGUAGUCACAGAGCUGGGGAGGAGGCCUCUCCAGCCCUGAAGGGCAGCAGGCCGGGGUGUCCCUCCCGCCUCUGUGCCCGCCCAUCCGUCCACCCACACACAUGAAGUGCGUAGCAUGCAGUAUUUAAAGCAGUUUAGCUACGGUCUUCUUCUGUUCUUCUUUUCCAGUAGCAUGUAUGGGGUCAUGUUCCAUGUCUGUCUGUGCUGUGGACAUUUCUGCGGCUCGGCCGUGCUGACUGGACAGUGGAGCCACCUCGGCCUUGUGGUCAGCCCACUGCCCCAAAGUGACCAAGGCUGCAUGGUGCCCCCUGGGGGGCUUGGCAGGCUGUUCCUUCUCCUCGUGCUUCUGGGUGUGAGAAGCAGGGGUCUGGCCUUCUGCCCUACCCCCUUCCCCCCAUGCCAUCGUGUUCCCGAGCUGCUGGUGGCCCGCCCUUGCAGAAUGUCCCCCUUGGCUUGUGGGCCUUGUGGGGUCACCUGUGCUGCCUGUGUUGUGGGAAGAGUAGAACACUCCCCUCCUGCCCCAAGACAAUGCUCCCCGCUCAUGGUCCCCCACUACCUUGUCACAUGUCUGCACUUUCCUCAAGCCUCCUUGGCCCUCAAAAAGAAAGGACAAAGGGUAGCCCCAGGUCACAUUCCACACCCCUGCCCCAUCCCUGAAGGCCCUCCUGUCCCCUUAUGUUCCUUCCUGGGACCCUUAGGAGUCACAGUUAAUUAGGGACUGCGAGUCCAGGUUGCUAAGGUCACAGAUCCUGCCUCCCAGAACACCUUUUCCCCUUUGCCUGUUCCCCUUUGUUGUCACUACUAGUCCAGGCCAAGCUGAGGACAGCAGGUCUCUCUAGAAGGCCAGCUGGACCAAAGAGACAUUCUGACCAUGAGGGCCAGGGUCUGGGGAGGCCUAUUAGUAUCAGCUUCGUGGGCCCCCACCACCCCCAGUAGAGAACUGUUGGAAGCCAGCCCUUAUCUGUCCCAGAUUCAGAGCCAGAAAACACGAAGGCUGUGCUCUGUGACCCAGGGCCCCCACCACCACCCCCACACUGGCCCCAAUGGCCUGCACCAGCCGCUGGAGCGCCGACCACCAGAGGUGAAGAGCAAGGGGCAAAGGUGCAGUCCUCUGGCCAAAUGCAUCAGAACACCUUCCUGAACCCCAUCACCCCACCUACUACCCUUCCUGCCCCCCUGCCUUCCAGCCACACAGAGGCAGGAAGUGUCUGGACAGAACAGGGACGCACUCAGAAAAUGGUGCUGCUUGUGGGGCCCCUGACUCGCCCUGCUCGCAGACUGACACCAGGCCCUUGCCAGCAUUGGUCCCUUUCUGUUUUACUGUUUGCUCAUUAAAGUGAUCAUGAAGACUUCCAUGAGGGGGCAUUUGGUCUCUUAUACUGGACUAGCUUGAUAGGUCAGCCCUCAUAAGAAAAGAGGGAACUCACUGACCCAGAGCCCAGUGAGGGUGAGAGCAUACAUAGGCCGUCUCUGCUCGCUGUAGGCACAGCCUUUGUGACAGCUCUGGACAUAGCCUGGGCAUUGCACUGCUGUCCCCAGAGGGGCUACCGAAGGCAGAGAAACUGCUCGCCUGCAUGGUUGAGUUCCUGGCCAAGCCCUCUGUCAAGUUUUGAGGGCCAGGAGUCUCCAAGGCUCCACACGUCAGAGUUCCUUCCUUGCCAGGUGUUUCAGUUUCAUCAUCUAACUGGGUCAUUGUGGAAAUCUGAAGCUCCCUAUGGAGGCCCAAGUAGCACGGCAGGGGCUGCAGGCUGUAGGCCUGCCCUGGCCUCCUAUGAGAUUAUGGGAAAGGGAUGGUGCUGAUGGCGUGCACUGAAAGGCCAGGCUGCCUGGCAUUCCCGCUGCCUGACCCAGAAGGUAUUAUUUGAGUGAUUCAGAAGUAGAAUCCUUUUCACAACUGUACUAUAUCUGCUUUCAAGCGACUCUCAAGCUCCCCCAUGUCCUAUUCUGGCUUCUCUCCCAGCAUCCAUCUGGAUGGGGCAGCCCCUCAGGUACUGUGGCAGUGACCAGCAUGCCUGAGCUUCACUGCCCAGAGCAGGGCCUACCUCCUCUGGGUUCCCGGGAGAGGCAGGGAGAGCCCACUGGUGUCCAGGCUGCUGGUGUGUAGCUUCAUUCCUGUUUGGUGACGUGGACUCUUGUCUCCCUUCUGGCUUUGUUCUAUUUCCAAACUGCUCUGGAUAUUCCUACUUGUCUGUGCCCCUCACUAGCACUGCCCAGUCAUGCAGCCCGGACUCCAGGGACUGAGGUCAGCCAGAACUAGGCUUGCCCACGGGGCUCCGGUCUGUUCUCUGAUGUUCUGUCCAGGGCAGCAGGGGAUGCACUGCUUCAGCACCUGGCAGGGGAGGGAGACCACAAUGCAGCCGGAACUGGCCCACGGGCCAGAGUGUUCCAGCACCUUGGGGCCCCUUCAUGCUGCCCGCUCUGGGUGCGCCUGCUGUGGAGGCCGGUGUGAAUGCUGGAAAAAGUGACUGAUCUCAUUCCUUCCUGUUUGGGCCACGUGGUGCAGGACCAACCUGCCAGUUUGUGUUACUUUGGUUGUGAUCACUACCCUGUGGACUUGGCCAAGGCUUCCUUAUCAUUGUCCUUACAAGCACAGCUGGCAUUGCCUUCACAGGUGCAGCAGCAGGUGUGUCUGUGUACUUGUGUGUCUGUGUAACACGCAGCUGAUGGAGAACAAGUCCAAUAAAAACUGGCUCUCAAACCGCC